GCUGGGCGCAGUGGCACACGCCUGUAAUCCCAGCAGCUCUGGAGGCUGAGGCAGGAGGAUCAUGAGUUCAAAGUCAGCCUCAGCAACUCAGCGCCCUAAGCAACUCAGCGAGACCCUGUCUCUA
rnacentral:sRNA from 1 species